CCACAGCUUCGGGACGACUGGAUCGCCGCGCCUGGGCCGGAGCGAGCCAUCUGCGGGCACUAUGCAAAGCGGGAGACGGCGCGAGCGGCGCCCGGCUCACACUAGCUCUUCCAGGACGCAGGUGUUCUAACCGGGAUGUGACAGUUGAGGCUGGGAGCAGAAAUAAUCAACAUGCCCAUUAGAUACAGGACGGAAUAAUGCUUCUAUUGGUUGGGUCCCUUCGAGAGAGAACCAUUCUCUGCUUUCAAUAGGACAGAAGAGCUCCUUGGCACUGGAUGCCUCCGGGUCUGGUUGAGAGAGGAAUGGUUAGGAGACUGUUCUGAGGAUACGCAGACAUCAUCCAAAGCUUCCUACAUUCAGAUGAGGACAGAGGUUGGGCCAGAGCUUUGUAAGCUUGUUACCUAAGGAUGGUUCUGACCAUGUAAGCAGAUCACAGAAGCUGGAGGCAAAGGAUGCCAAGAUGGGAAAGCCACAUAAUGGAAGGAUCCUGGAUUUCAGAGCUGUCACUUGGAGGAGGGGCACCCAGUGAAGGUGUCUUAUCUAACCCACACCAUAUCUUCAUGAAGUGGCCAUAUGGAUUUGAUCCCUAUCCUUCAGAGGUGCUCAGCCUAAGGGAACACGGAUAGUAGAUUAAGCACUGACCAGGUGAAAAAGAUUGAUCAUCAGAUGUUUCUUAUGUAUCAACCUGAUAUUUAAAUCCAUGAAGGACAGAGACGACAAAGGCAGGUGGAAUAGAUAGAGAAGAGAUUCAAGGUCUGAGCUCUACAUUACUCAAACUGUUAGAGAUUAGGAAGAAGAGGAAGACCUGGCAAAAGAAUGUCCUGGGAUGUAGAAAGAAAACCAGAAGCUUGUGUUCUCUGGAAACCAAAUGAAGAAAGGGCUUCCAGAAGGACAGACAAAGUGUAGUGUGUCAAAGGCUCCUGAGCAAUCAGAGGAGAGCACAAAGGGGCUCACAGGACUUUGGUAUCUGGAUCACCCAGUGACACUUCCUGAUCACGAGAAACUGUCAGACCAACAGGGGCACUUUCUGAAACCAGCAGUUCUUCAGUGCCCAAAUGCAACCUUGAUGGUUUGAUUUUGGAGGAUGGCAAUUCAUUAACAGCACUCCCCAGUGAUAAAUAUGAAAACCAAUAAAACCCCCCACCCAAGGCAAUCUCUCCCAGCUCCUCGCUUUGAGUAAAGUGAGUAACCUCCAUUUCUGCCAACUCCUGUCUUGUCUGAAGCCACAUUUCCCCAGCAAUGUCACAUAUGCAUUUCUUGAUCCUGGUCAUUUCUCCUCUUGGGAGAUGAAUCAUAAAGAAAAUGAGAUCUGUGUGCCCUGGUGACUAUGGAUGCAAGAGUCUGCUGCCCUGGAGGGAACAGCUGGAAAAGUAGAUGGUGAAGACGUGUGGGGGGGAAACAGUGGAGAAGGCAUCUUUGCAGGGGAUCAAGGUGACAGAGUGAUUAGUUACACUGUUUUGACAUGUGAGAACAGGGGGUUAUAAAAAUGGAUACAGGAAGAGGGAGAGAAAGUAAGGACCAAAACAUGAAGCCAGUCAUGAAUGUUUUUACAUAAAAAGCAGCAGAUUUACGGCAAAUAUGUGAUGUUUCCACAUUUUCUGCCUCUAGUUAGCAGGGGCAGCACAAAGAGCAUUACUGUGGAGCUGAACUUUGGGUAAAAGAUUAACAGCCAGUCCUUUCUCUCCAGUGUCUGCUUCCUUCUGGGCUUGCCCUGGGGGAAAAGGAGGGCUGGCAUGGAUAUGCCUGCAGCCCUCACCCUAGAUGUUCUUCCACGCCUCUCUGUUCAUUCAUUGCUUAGUCAUUCCUCAGGCAUGGAUUGAGACCACUGUGUGCCCAGGACCGACCUGGCCUAGGAUGGACAUAGAGAUGGAAAAGGCACAGGGAGCAGGUGACAGAGACAAAUCAAGGUCAUGGAGAAUAGCAGAGUAAGAUAGAAGAUGAAGGCAGGAGAUGGGGUUCUUGAGAAAGCGAGAGCAGGACUGACCCGUGUCUGCCUCACCUGUUAUUGCUGUAGCCUCUUCUCCUUGGAGUAUCCCUCCUGCUCUUGCAUCACCUUAGGAACUUGGAUCAGAGAGGAAAGUUACGGCCUGGAUAUGUUGUAGUAGGAGGGGACAAACAUGUUUGGAGACAGAAAUGCUUGGGGAGCGGGUGUUUUUGGGGGAUGAGACUUUCCAGGUCUCUCAAUUCACACUAUGUAGGUAGUUCACUGCACAGCUUAAAUAAGAGACAACUCUCCGGAGUGGUUGGCUCUCAUCCAAAAAAUGUGUUUUGGGCCUCAGAUUUCCAACGGAAGGGCUGAAGCGUGACUGGCCUGAUGUCAACUACUGAAGUCCACCUGCCCCUGCCCUAUCAGGUGUGGAAAUGCUGGGGUUCCUCUCUCAGAACCUACUUCCUGAGAUGUCGAAAUAUACCCAAGAGUAUUUCUGGGCCUUCUCCAAUCCGAAACUGUUUAGUUUUUGUGUGUGUGUGCCUACUUGGCCACACUAGAAGACAGAGGUGGCCUGGGUGAAAUGCAGGUUUCUAGAGGCUCUCUGACAAAGCUCAGGCCACCAGCCCCAGGCCAGCCUGUGGGUAGUCCUGGCUGACAGUCACUUCAUACCUCACCUGGGCUUUUUGCCAAAUUCAAAGUGUGUGUAUAUGUGGAGUGCUGGGUUCCCACCACUGACAGUCUGUAAGUCAUUCACUUAGCUCAAUUUGUCUUACUUUCUUCUGAAAUUUCUUCCUUCUUGUUCUUUUUCCCAGGAGAAACCAGGAGAAGGCAGUCCUAGGGCAGUCUCCGGGCCAGCUUUCCCUAAUAAGAAGGCAGAGCUCCUCUUCACCCAGACUUCAGACCUAUAGAGGCAGCCUGGGGUCCCGGGAUGCCCUUGCACUCAGAGAUGUCCCCAGAGUCCUAGGGAAAUGGAGGAUAACUAGGAGGAAGCUGUUCAUGGCUGGCGAUGAGGUCUAUACCUUCUUGUCCGUCUCAGUGCUGUCUGCUAUUGAAUUUUUGUGCAGAUCACAUUAACUUAAAGCCAGUUCUCAAGAAGCUCCCCCUGCCGCCGGCAUAUCCACCAGUUGCUCCCCUUUCCUGCCAUUAAUCAGGGUCUGCUAGUUAGAGAACAAAUUCCUAUUUGUCCAAACAGUUGCCAACACCCCCACCCCAAGGUAGUUAAAUGAGGAUGAAUGGGUCAUUCUUAUUAAAAAAUGACUUAAAUUUCUCAAAUUCUAUUUAUGUUUCUUUUACAUCCCAAUUUUCUAUAGAUUUAGUGACUCCAAAUGAUAAGGUCUCAAGCUCAUAAUAAUUUAUCCCUUGGGUAACACACAAGGCUUGGUGGUAUUUCAGUAAUAUUCAUGACAACAGCAGCUGUCGUGCUAAUAAGGACUGAUGUCACCAGAGCACUUUCUAUGUGCCAAGCAUGGUGCACAACACUUUACAUACAUUAUGUCAUUUAAUUUUCACAAAACCUCACAGAGGUAAAUAUUAUUAUCUUCCUCUGCAUAUAAGGAAAUGAAUGUUCGGAAAGAUUAAGUCAACUCACUGAGGUCCCAUCAGUGCUCUUUCAUAUGCCUCUGUUGCAGUCUCAUUGAACUGCUGAAAUCAGAAAAACCUGGAGACCUUGUUAACCUUCAGAUUCCUGGGCCCCAUCUUAGAUGCAGGGAGUCAGACUUCCUGGGAGUGUGGCCCUGGAAUUUUCAUUUGUAAACACAUUCCCCAAGAGACCUGUAUGCACACUAAAGUGGGAGAAUUCACGAUCUCUGGCUUUUGUGAUGUUUUAAACGCACUAUAUAAUUUCAGUAGCAAAAGAAUUGGGCUUUGGGAAGGGAGUGUGUGGUGAACCCUGAAAGCUGAAUGGACUUCCUUCCUGUGGAGGAGCAGUGGGAGAAACUGGAGGCAGAGAGCUGUGUUUCAUUCCUUGAUUGAGCCUUUGUGAGUUAUUUAAUCUCUUUCAGUCUCUAUUUUUUUCAUUUGUAAACCAGGAAGGAUACUUGUAUUUUCCAGGUGGUUGUGAGGUGUGAAAGAGAUGAGAGUAGAACAAAAUUUUAAAAGUUGAAAGCACUCAACAAAUGUAUUUGGUAUUAAUCAUGGGUUUCCCUGGGGCCGAGGAAGCCACCAGCCACCGCAGGCCUGUACACAAUGCCAGCCACCAUGUAUGGAUACGGAGGAGGCAAAAGGACUAGCGAACACUCCCAGGGACUGGAUGUCUUGAAUAUCUGUCCAACUUUCUUGGGAGGGGCCAUUUCUUCUGUAACUCAAAGGAAUUUAUUAUUUUUCAGCCAGGGAGGCAUGCUUUCUAUCUACUGCUAGUACUCCCAGACCAAGCUGUUUCAGUGGGACUGAGGUGUGACUUCUGCCUCGGUUUCAUCCAUCUGUGCAGGGAAGAGAAAAAUGCCUGCACCUCCACGGUCACACCCUCUGUUGGAACCACCUCCUUAAGCCAGAAUUAUUGAAUGUUCUCUAUGUGCCAGAAUUAUUAUUAUCUCAUUUGAUUCUCACAACAAUGCCAUGAAGUCUAUACAGACAUACCUUGGAAAUACAGCGGGUUUGGUUCCAGACCACCGCAAUAAAGCUAAUACCGCAAUAAAAUGGGUCACACGAAUUUUUUGGAUUAGGCUUCGGCUUAAGGGAAUGUUGUGGCUGGUUUGAUGUUUUAUCCAGACCGCUAACACUUUCUCCCUAUCAGCAAUGAGGCUGUUUUGCUUUCUUAUCAUUCCUGUGUUCACUGGAGUAGCACUUUUAAUUUCCUUCAAGAACUUUUCCUUUGCAUUCAUAACUUGGCUAACUGUUUGGCACAAGAGGCCUGCCUAGCUUUUGGCCUAUCUAAGCUUUUGACUUGCCUUCCUCACUGAGCUUAAUCAUCUCUAGCCUUGGAUUUAACGUGGAAAAUGUGUGACCCUUCCUUUCACUUGAACACUUGGAAGCUAUUGUAGGGUUAUUAACUGGCCUAAUUCAAUAUUAUUGUGUCUCAGGGAACAGGGAGGCCCAGAGAGAGAGAGACGGGAAAACAGAAAGUCAGUGGGGCAGGCAGAACACACACGUUUAUUUAUUAAGUUUGCUGUCAUAUGUUGGUGCAGUUCAUGCUGCCCCAAAACAAUUACAAUAACAAGAUCAAAGAUUCCUGGUCAUAGAUUGCCAUAACAGAUACAGUAAUCACGAAAAAGUUUGAGAUAUUGUGAGAAUUACGCAGAUAUUGUGAGAAAUAUGACCCAGAGACAAGAAGCGAGCACAUGCCGUUAGAAAAAUGGCACCAACAGACUUGCUUGCUGCAGGGUUACACAUACCUUCAAUUUGUAAAAAAAAAAAACUGUAAUAUCUGCAAAACGCAAUAAAGAAAAGUGUAAUAAAAUGCAGUCUGCCUGAACUUCAAUUAUUCCCAUUUUAUAGAAGAGGAAAUAGAUGCAGGGAGUUUGAUCUGCCUGAACUAGUAAAUGGUAGAACUCUGGGACUAACAUUCCUAUCCUCUAUGCUACAUUCCUAGGAAAGAACGCUCAGACAGGGUUGGACUGAGAGUGUGUUAAGCUUUGCACUGUUUUGAGCCCUCUGAAGGAGUGUCCGUAUUUGAAAGCUGGCCUCCUUCCUUUCACUGGCCCUCCACAGUGUGGCCUAAGUUAUUCAAUUAGGAAGGGAAAUAAUUGGCAGUGGAGAAUGCCUCUAGCAGUGGUAAUUACCUCCAGUGCCUUGUAGGAAUAGUCAAGCUACAUUUCAGUUUAUGCUGUAAAACCUUAAUUAUAAUAUAAACAGCUGCCCUUCAGCCCAGUGGGGCAGCCUUCCCCCGCCUUCCUUCUCUGGCCUCUGAAUGGCCCUGCCUCCUGAAUGGUCAGGGAGGUCCAGGGACGGAAGGAGACCUGGGAGGAGGGGAGCCGAUGACUAUGCGUGCGUUGGGGUUUGGAAGACUAAGCUGGAGGGAGCCACUGCCAGGGUCCCAUCUUCAAGUGAUGAAGCCAAAGGCAGCAUCCCCAUUCUUGGUACCACUCACACUGAGUCUCUUGGGGGAGCAGCCUCCAGCCAUUAGCAGUCAGCCCAGUGCCAUUAGGCUAGGAUAGGGUUUAGCAGGCUAUGGUAUCAUUUCAGGGUAACAUCUCUUUCUAUUUACUCCCCUAUAAGGGAGAACAGAGUCUUCCCUUCUAGAUCCAGACUUCCUGGCCAUGUAGGAGCCCUGUUGAGUGCCUGGUGCACUCUAGGUAGUAUGCGAGGCAUGGUUGCAAGGGUUCCCCAUUUCAACUUCACAGCACUUGGAUACACAGAAAAUUAACAUCCUCAUUUGACUAUUGAGGAAAAUGAGACUUUGAAAGUUUAAACGGAGAUAAGGCUUGGGAGGCAGACAGCCCUGUAAGUGACUUAAGUUCAGGAAGGAGAAGGACACUCAAUAUUUUUGUUCAGAGCACUGGGAAGGAGAGAGAGGGAUCAGUCACCAUCGGGCAUUUGAGAAGGUCCAGGAACAGGGGGCUGGUGAGCAGAGGGGGGAAUAACACCAGAGGGGCUGAAAUUGCUGAUUGCUGGGUUCACAGAUCUACCCACGAGCGGCCCAGGUACCCCAUGAGCGGCUGCUCUGUGUCAUCUGACCACUGGAUUGUAACCUGGGCUGAAAGAAUCAGAAGUCAGUGUGGCGAGGCAGGAGUCCUCAGAUGGUCAGAGCUGACUCUUCAACUCUUAAGGGCAAAAUGGAAAAUGUGAGCUUGUUGGUGGUCUUCGAAACACAGUAAGCAAUCCAUGCCCCUGAAGAGCAGGGAUAAUUAUAGGCAUGCCCUUGUUUUAUUGUGCUUUGCAGAUAUUGCAUGUUUUUACAAAUUGAAGAUUUAUGGCAACUCUGCAUACAGCAAAUCUAUUGAUGCCAUCUUUUUCCAAUAUCACAUGCUCACUCUGUGUCUCUGUCUCACAUUUUGGUAGUUCUCCCAAUAUUUCACACCUUAUUAUUAUUAUUAUAUCUGUUAUGAUGAUCUGUGGUCAGGGAUCUUUGAGGUUACUAUUGUAGUUGUUUUGAGGUGCCAUGAACUGCACCCAUGUAAGACAGCGAACAUAAUCAAUAAAUGUUGUGUGUUCUGACUGCUCCACCAACCGACUGUUUCCCUGUCUCUUUCUCUCUCCUCUGGCUCCCUAUUCCCUGAGGCACAAUCAUAUUGAAAUUAGGCCAAAUAAUAACCCUACAAUGGCUUCUAAAGGUUCAAGUAAAAGGAAGAGUCACAUCUCUUACUCUAAAUCAAAAGCUAGAAAUGAUUAAGCUUAGUGAGGAAGGCAUGUGGAAAGCUGAGA
rnacentral:lncRNA from 10 species